UGAACGCUGGCGGCAGGCCUAACACAUGCAAGUCGAACGGUAACAGGAAGCAGCUUGCUGCUUCGCUGACGAGUGGCGGACGGGUGAGUAAUGUCUGGGAAGCUGCCUGAUGGAGGGGGAUAACUACUGGAAACGGUAGCUAAUACCGCAUAAUGUCGCAAGACCAAAGAGGGGGACCUUCGGGCCUCUUGCCAUCGGAUGUGCCCAGAUGGGAUUAGCUUGUUGGUGGGGUAACGGCUCACCAAGGCGACGAUCCCUAGCUGGUCUGAGAGGAUGACCAGCCACACUGGAACUGAGACACGGUCCAGACUCCUACGGGAGGCAGCAGUGGGGAAUAUUGCACAAUGGGCGCAAGCCUGAUGCAGCCAUGCCGCGUGUAUGAAGAAGGCCUUCGGGUUGUAAAGUACUUUCAGCGGGGAGGAAGGGAGUAAAGUUAAUACCUUUGCUCAUUGACGUUACCCGCAGAAGAAGCACCGGCUAACUCCGUG
rnacentral:rRNA from 1 species